rnacentral:tRNA from 1 species
GGAAGCAGAACUCGAGUGGAGGAGUGUCUCCCUUUUAAGGAGAAAGUCUUGGUUCAACUCCAGGUGUUUUCA